GGAGAAUAAAUGUUCUUUUAUAGAACUCAAUGAUCUGCUUAUUAAUAGAGAUAAAGUAUCUUUUAUAAGACUUGUCUAAUGAUAACUGAUUGGAAAAUGCAUUAAAACAUGUAGUUAAUCCUCUUUGCAUAGCUCUUGAAACUCUUCCUGUUAGCGAAGGCACAUCAUUGUGCAACGCUUGAUGGGUCGAGGCUCGAGCAAGGCGAGAAAGGGAGAGAGAGAUAAGGCACCAAAGUCCAACGUGCAGACUGUAUCUUUCCCUCUUUUAAUCAGGUAAGUGUCUCUUUCGCCUUCCAAAACAAGUUUCACAAGACCAAGAAAAUGGAGUAAGUGUACGUGAUCUUUCUCAGGAACCGUAAAGAAGGCAUUGUGUACAUGCGUAAGAUAGGCAUGAUUGGAGCUUUUGGGGUGUGCGUCGUCUUCAACACUCCUAUUUCCAAGUAAGUAGAUUCCGAAG
rnacentral:lncRNA from 1 species